CCCUUAGAUGUUCUGGGCCGCACGCGCGCUACACUGUUCGACGCAGCGAGUCUUAACCUUGACCGAAAGGUUUGGGUAAUCUUCAGCAAAGUCGAACGUGAUGGGGAUCGAUCAUUGCAAUUAUUGAUCGUGAACGAGGAAUUCCUAGUAAGUGCAAGUCAUCAGCUUGCGCUGAUUACGUCCCUGCCCUUUGUACACACCGCCCGUCGCUACUACCGAUUGAAUGGUUUAGUGAGAUCUCCGGAUUGACGCUGGCUAGGGGGCGACCCUUGGCCAGGCUGUCGAGAAACUGCUCAAACUUGAUCAUUUAGAGGAAGUAAAAGUCGUAACA
rnacentral:rRNA from 1 species